rnacentral:lncRNA from 1 species
CGUCGGAUCAAGGUAGGUUUUCUUCUUCUUCCUUUCUGUCUAUCUAGCUAUUUAGAUGAGAUUUGGACCGACGAAUCACUGAAAAAAUCAUCCGAAAUAGGGUGCCCUGUUUUGACCCCUUUUUCUUCCAAGUUUUGCUACCGUUGGCCACCGUUGCCGACAAUGACUGUGACUGAGAGCAUCCAUGGCCACCUCCACCUAGGGCUAAGCCACUAUGGGCUACCACCUCCUCUAAUCGAAGGGAAAAGGGGGAGGUGGACUCUCCCCUAUUUGGGAAAGAAGAAAAAAUCUCUCUCUCUCUCUCUCUU